rnacentral:lncRNA from 1 species
CCCGUGGUAUACCCUGGUGAAGACAGCUUGUCUGUUGAAACGUUGAUUAUAUUAUUCCAUCUGAGCUCAUAGAUUGUGCAGCUCUCCUUUUUCAUAAAUUCUGAUAUACCAUGGCUGUAAGCCAAUCAGCACCCAGUUUAUAAUAAUGUAUAGCUUCUGUCUUACAUCACCACGGCAUUAGACCAGGGGCCAAAAGUGUGACACCAAUCAGGCUCCGAGAACUGGAGUUGCCCAUCCCUGCCUUAUACUAGAAUGCAACUACUUACAACAAGCCUACACAGCGGAACACUAAACUAACCUUUCGUGUGCUAAAUGUCUGUCUGUUGCGCGUUGGCUCAAUAACUUAUUUUCAGUCAACGAAAGCAAUACAAUACUUUCAUGUAUAGGACAAACGUAUUAAUGACCAAUAAAGAAACAUUCUUUCUCCGACUAGAAAUACGUGUUAUCGAUCACACUAGGCGAGCAUAUUCUAUUCAGAAGGGAGUGUGUGACUUGUAUGCACACUUAAAUGUCUUGUGCACGCAUGGCUCAGAUUGCCCCACCCAUCUCAUGUGUCUAUAGGCUGGCCAGGCUUCCUAUAUAGCUUGAUACGUGAACAUCGUGCGCUUGUACUCCCUCCCUGGGCACAUUUCAACCAGCUCAACCCCGAGCACAGCUGCCUGCAGAGACAGGUGGCCGGUGAGGUGCAGACCCAGCCACAGGACCGCGCGGUCAACCAGAUAGCCAUGAUGCUGGCCAUCAUGGGCCUGAGCCUGUCCUACUACAGUGCCAAACGGAUGACCGAGAAGGUCCAGAGGCUCCAGAAGAGAAGAGAUCCCCAUACACCCUGAAGAGACCCCUCCCCCCAGUGCGCCGGUCCUCUUUGAACCUGGAGAGAAGACGAACCAACGCGAAAACGAGGAGAGGAGAGUUGACAGUGUCGGUGUCCAGAACAACACCUUUUCACAACCAAUCAGUCAUAGUCACGUCGUUCAGACACUGGAGUUUUACUGGGAUCACUCUCAAUGCGAGGAGAGUUCGGGGUCUGCUGUUGUUAAGGGUAUCUUAAUUUUUCACCCCAAUGGAUGUUGGGAGGACCUUGUGGGGGAGUGUGUAUGUGGGAAAGGCUGACGGUGGGGUUCGUGUGGUCCUGAUAAAGUUUGGGGGGUAAAAAGUACAACCAUCUGUCUAUGGUCAGGCUGGGCCCGUGCUUCAGUCGUUGCCAAGGUACAUGCGUGCAGGAUGCCGUCAAUACUGUUCUGAGCUAAAAAGGAUAAAGAAAUGCUAAACUAAUUAUUCUAAUGUACUGUGAAUCUCUUGCCAGUGCUCCAAGUAUAUGACAGCUUGUCUAAAAUAACUGAGCGGUAAUUAUUUUUGAGGGAAUGCUUUCUGCAUUUGAGAUGUAUCUAGUAAUGACUGAAGGUGGGCCUGUAGUGUGGCUGAAAGUGGGGAGAAAGGAACCCUCUUAGGUUUUUGUAAUUCCUUUAUUGUUAAAAAAAAUUAAAGUGAGCCAUGUGAACUAGAUGUGGAGGAGUCUCAAACUGGUCAAUAAUUCCACACAUGUUCAAUAUCUGUUAAUGUCAGACACAAACAACCGUACAUUACUGGUGAAAUGCAGUAUUUUAACGUUUUGGGAAGUUGCUUAUCCAAAUCUACGAAGAAAAAAAAGGCACGUAAAUCAGUCUUGAUAAAAAUGGGUGGCUUUCUUUUAAAGAACUCGAUCUGCAAUAGCUACUAGGUGUUACCACAAAUAUUCUAACUUCAGUAAACGUUGCAUGGGUAUGCAGCUUUUAAUAUCUUCGUUAAUACUGUCACGUUUUAGUUUUUUAAAGGACGAUGACCAUGAAUGUAUAUUUCUGUGAUGUUUUAUAGAAAUCGAAUAAAGCUGUGACUUGAAUAAUAAGAACCGUGGCAGUUUAGUAAUGAUUUUAAGGUGUUUGGGAAUUUUGGAAAAACCGACGUGAACAAGCAUUUUAUCACAAUAUUUAUAUUUUGUUAAGGGG